rnacentral:misc_RNA from 1 species
AAUUAUCAACUCCCUUUCUUUAUUGAAGGGUGAGCUUGGACUUGGGGAUUGCUGGUUUUCAAUCGGCUUCCCUUGAAUGCAUUAGCUGGAAUUUAAUUCGCAGCAUAUAUGCGGUGUGAUAAUGUCGUCACUGUGUAGCUCGGAUUGUCUAGCUUCUAAUCGUCCUUCACGGGACAAUUUGAUCA